GACGAACGCUGGCGGCGUGCUUAACACAUGCAAGUCGAACGGAAAGGCCCUGCUUUUGUGGGGUGCUCGAGUGGCGAACGGGUGAGUAACACGUGAGUAACCUGCCCUUGACUUUGGGAUAACUUCAGGAAACUGGGGCUAAUACCGGAUAGGAUCUCCUGCUGCAUGGUGGGGGUUGGAAAGUUUCGGCGGUUGGGGAUGGACUCGCGGCUUAUCAGCUUGUUGGUGGGGUAGUGGCUUACCAAGGCUUUGACGGGUAGCCGGCCUGAGAGGGUGACCGGCGACAUGGGGACUGAGAUACGGCCCAGACUCCUACGGGAGGCAGCAGUGGGGAAUAUUGCACAAUGGGCGGAAGCCUGAUGCAGCAACGCCGCGUGCGGGAUGACGGCCUUCGGGUUGUAAACCGCUUUCGCCUGUGACGAAGCGUGAGUGACGGUAAUGGGUAAAGAAGCACCGGCUAACUACGUG
rnacentral:rRNA from 1 species